GAAUCUUGAUCCUGGGCCAGCCACCUGUCAAGAGGAGGCGGAGCGUCAUGCCCCUGGAAGACUGGAUGAAUAUUCUCCAGGAGCCUGACGAAGGCAAGUCUUUGCAGAGGAAAUUGAAUGCUGUCUGAUGCUACAAUUCAUAUGGAUCCUUUCCUGGAUUGAAGCCUGACUUUUAAAAACAGUUUCAAUAAAUUGCUUAUACCUAUGAAGAGAUGCAAAAGAACCUUCCAAAUAAAGCAAAGGACUUGAAGAAAGAGAAGGAAGACAUGAAGAAGAGGAUGUCAUUUAGGGCCAUGCUGGAUAAGGAGCUGGCUGCCUCUGUGAACAUCCUACUCAAGGCAUCUUCACUGCUGUACAUCCUUUUGAAAUCCCAGAGAUCUUCAGUCUCCCUGUGGAUUAAGGAGAUGUGCAGUAUUUAAAGUGGCUUCAGGAAGGCAUGGAAGAGGACUGAGUGGGGAAAGCUUUUUGUGCAUGCUGCUGGCUACCUCCAGCAGCUGCCUCCAGCCUCCAUCAGCUGCACUCUGGGGAAGAGGAGGCUGCCUUCUACCUCCCAGCAUCUCUGGAUUUCAUGUUCCUGUCAGCACAGAGGAGCUAAAUGGCCUGUAGAGGCUGAAGGUCUGAGGCUCCUAAAGCUGGAAGAAAAGGCUGGGCCAGUCAGGCCAAGCAAGAACACAGUGUAACUUGUCUCUGAGUGCUUCAUGUUUAAGGGCACUAAGCAGGCACAAGGGCAUGAGGAUGGUUAUAUGUACAGACUGAGGGGAAGAAGCAGUGAGGAUGAGACUUGCCAUGUUCUUGAGUCAGUAGGCCUGCCUCAGGUGCCUAGGAUGUAAUUGCUCUGCUGCUUCUCAUGGGGAGGAGUGGCCCUCAUGACCUUGUUUACCUGGAAGAGUGUGGGAUGAAUGCCUCCUCCUAUGGGGACUGGCAAGUGCUUUAGCAAAAGGAUAAAUUGCUAAUUGUGGCAUUUCGUGGAUCAGCAGGAUUAUUUCUCCUUGCUAAAGAGGAUUUUGUUGGUCCUGAAUUCUGAAGAGGUGGGACUAGGAAUGGGCUCCAUGAGCCUGUGUAUGACUCAGGGAAUAUUAGGACUUUGGCACAGCCUCAUGGGUUGGGAGUAAGUCUUGGCUCUUCCCUAGCCUGAAUGACAGACAUCAGAUCAUUCUGGUGCUUUGUCCAGAUGUAGAUUCUGAGCCCACCCAACUAACCUUUUCACUUGAGCACAGAAACAGCCCCGGGAAUCGGACAGACCCCUGUCUUUCAGGUUUGCUUCACAGAGCCCCAGGGGUUGACAAUAGGUGCCUUGGAGACUGCCUGCAUGGGGAUUUUUAAAAAGCUUUCUUUGUUAAAGGUUUGUAAACCGCUCCUCUGAGCCUGUUUUCAUUUUAUAGAUUAUUCAGGGAACUGAACUGCACAGAGAUCCAGAAACUGGGUAGUGCAGGCUGUAGUGCUGAUAACUACUGUACUACUUGGAUCUUUGUGCUCCCAAAUACCAAAUGGAAGAGGAUCUCUGAGAGUCCUUUGCAAAGAUCUUGUAGGGACUUUAGGCUGGGGCCUUCGGAAAAUUCCAGAGGAUUCCAAUGGAGAUUUUGAGGGACUGACUCAGAAGAACAAAGAGAAUGAUAAUGGUGAUGUCCCUGCUUUUUACAACAGAUCAUGUUCUGAUAUAUAUGCAAAUCUGUGUAAAGUAAACCCUACCUAAAAUGUACUGGGGACCCAAGAUGGACUGCCUGUAUUGCUUCCAGGAUAAAGUCCAAUUUCUAGCUCUGGUUUUUAUAACCUUGCUUCAGCUCACCUUUUCCGUCAUCAUCCCCUCCAUCUCCUCUCCCACGCUGGGAAAUGGAUGGCUGCACUAUACUGUGUGAUGUUAUUGCUAUGUUCAUGCCAUCCCCUCUGCCUGGAAUGCCCUUCUGCAUGAAUGCCUGUGAAAUGUUGUUGCUCCUUUGUAUGGCCUGGCUUCCGUGGUUGGCAGGAAUCUCUUCUUUCGUGGUAUUCCUGUCAUCUUUGUGCAUCACAGUCAGCUUUGUAUUCCUAGCUUGUAAGCUACUUGAGGAUAGGGGCAUGUCUGAAUCUAUUUAAUCUCUUGCACCUGUUUGGCAAAUUGAUGUUUUAAGUAUUUAAAUAACUAAAGCUCUCUCUACAGUACAUACUCACUUUUGAUUUAUGGAAUUGGCAAAAUUCAACUUUUUUCCUUGAAUAUUCUUAAAGUGAGACGAAUUCCAAAGGAGAGUGUUCUGUGUGUGGCCUUCAUUGAGUGGUUUUCUGUUACCAGAAAGCUCUUGGUGGCCUUCCUCUUCCCUGGUGUCAAGGUUGACUGUUAUAGGAAAUGGGAGGGGAGAGAGCCGUUUCUGCCACGCAUUGUCCUAGGUUCUUAACAUUAUUUAAUCCUUAUAAUGCAAUGUUAUCCUCAUUUUACAGAUGAAACCUGAGACCAAAGAACAUGUAACACAUAAAGUACAUUGCAGUUAGGAUGUGAACCCAACUCUGAUUCUAAACCUAAUGCUCUCACUCUUUCAUUCAGAGGUUCAGUCAGUUCUUUGUAGGCUGUAGAUCCAGAGAAGCUGCCGUAGCCAACAAUAAAGUUGUUAGUUUUUAAAACAUCUAUGUGGUAAGUUGGUCUGGCACUUAAAAAUGUAUUGUUUCCCGGGCACGGUGGCUCACACCUGUAAUCCCAGCAUUUUGGGAGGCUGAGGCAGGCGGAUCAUUAGGUCAAAAGAUUGAGACCAUCCUGACCAACAUGGUGAAACCCCGUCUCUACUAAAAGUACAAAAAUUAGCUGGGUGUGGUGGUGCAUGCCUCUAGUCCCAGCUACUUGGGAGGCUGAGGCAGGAGAAUUGCUUGAACCCAGGAGGCAGAGGUUGCAGUGAGCCAAGAUCAUGCUACUGCACUACAGCCUGGCAACAAAGCGAGACUCUGUCUAAAAAAAAAAAAAUAUAUAUAUAUAUAUAUAUAUAUAUUGUUUACUACUCACCACAGAUCUGCAGGAGUUCACUGAUCUCUAGGAUCUGCUUUAACUCCAACUUACAUGUUUUGGUCACUAUUACAAACUGUCAUCCCAGAAUGAUGCUGCAGAGGCUAGGGCUAGGACACAGACCAGUGUUUCCAUGUGGGAAUUCCCUCCCAGUAUUUCUUAGGAAAUGUAUGUUUUUUGAAUCCAUAAUCCCUAGAAAAAUCAGUUGAGGAAAUGAGAAGUAUUGUAAUUAUUCUGUGAAUAGUAACACUUACCAUUAUGGAGACAUCACUAGUUUGAAAGAAUCCAACUUCAUCAAAUACUAACGUACCGAGUUGAAGGCUACAAGAACUGAGACAGGAGCAUAGCAGAGAGAAACGGUCACCAUCUCAUUAGCCCUAUUUUUGGUUGUUGUGAUGCCAUUACAUCUGUAUAUCUGGCCAUAUCAGCUGCUAAUGGUGAGUUCUUGCAAACAAAAUGAUUUGAUAAAC
rnacentral:lncRNA from 1 species